UACUCUUGGAUAUAAAUCAGCUCUCUGUUGCUAAGAAUCAAGAACAACAGACUGAUCCGUCAGAUGGGACUCUGAAUGAUUUACUCAACGCUAAGAUCACUUUUAAAUGCAAGAAGACCCUUGCUUUGAAUAUGACCGGGUCAUGACUCAGUCAUAUGAACCAGUUUCUUGUUGUGUCAGACAAGACUGCUACCUCCCACCUCUCCCUUUCACUAUCAGACUGGCUGCCCUCUCCAUCCAGCAAGUCCUACUCAAAGUGUUCAUCAAGAACGCUGGCAGACUUCCUCCCAAUUUGUAUGAAAACAAUGACAGUGGCUGUGAAACAAGGCCAGCGGGGGCCUGACAACAUGGGCCUCAAGCAAACACUGCCAAACCAGAAUGAAAUGAAUACUUUUUUAGAAAAGAAAAACUGCAAAAGACACUAUUUAAAGCAAGGGCUCCAUAUAGGCAAAACUGUAUUAAGUUCCUUUUGUUAAAGGAACACUUGGAACAGUUGGGUUCAUUUGUAUAGCCUUUUUGUUUCAUUAAAGAUUUUUGACCUUG